AUCAAAACUCUCGCACUCCCUCCUUCUACUUCGCGCGUUCGGCGAGUUUUUCUAGCAAACCUUGUUUAGAAAUCGAUUGAGGAAAACUUUUGACGAAGAAGGAAAAGUUAACUUAGGUAAGGGCGCUUCUUCUUCGGCUUCUUCGUGGUUGAUUCAAUUGUGCCAUUCAUGCAAUUGAAAAUAGUUUUCUUCAUGGUUUGAUCGAAGGUGCCAUUCAGGCAAGCUCUAAACCAUUUGCUGCCUCUGAAGGGUUUUAGGAAGGUCUAUUAAUGAACAGAUUACUGUCGGUGUCGAUAAGCUUCUUUUCCGCCUUGCUGAGCUUGUACUAUUUCCGUCUCUUCAGGUUGUGGACCAAGAAAUAAUACUCUCUGCAUCUGGGCAUGCUCGAAUAUCUAUGUUUAGCAUUGUCGUCGUUUUAUCUCCAAAUGAUGUAGCUACCCUUUCUGAAGAAUGCACGGGCCUUAUCAUGAAGACAUGAAUUGCAGUGGUUUAUCUCAAAAUGUGGAAAGGCAGGCAGAGAUAAGGUUGAACUUGGAAGUAAUUUCAUAUUAAUUGUUUCAAUUUUCCAAGAAAUGAACAGCUACGGCAAGAGAUAAAUUUGUCACUUCAGCUCUUCUUUUUGAGCUUCUUGACCAGGGUUAGGAAGACUUUGGGAGAACAAAUGACUCACAUGGAUAGGUUGCAUCUACAGAAAGAUGGAAAGAAAUGACUUUACUUGGGAUAAUUAUAAUUUUCAUUAAGGGCAUAUAGUUAACUAGUCUAGACACACAAAGUGAAAUCCCUGUUAAGGAUAUUCUAGAUUGGUUAUUAGUGGAAGCAUGUUUUCUGUUGUUUGUUUCUUGUAUGUUGAUCACAAGUGUGUAAGCUAUUAGGCAAUCAGUUUUAUGCAUUUUUUCAUUUAAUUCCACUUUUUUUAUUGGUAUUUAAUCACAAGUGUACCAGACCAAGAGGGACUGGUCCAGAAAGUCACUGGCUAGGUCUCAUGGUUUCAGAAGGCGAAGGAGAACCACUAGUGGGAGAGCUGUGUUGAAGCAUAGGCGUGCCAAGGGACGGAAGGUUCUCUGCCCAAAGUCUAACCCAAAUAGUGGGAAGCGGGCUUGAUCCAUCAUGAUUAAAAAUGAAUCACUUUCAGCAGGUUAAACGAUUUUGUAAAGUGGAUUUGCAUUGGAAGAAGUGUUACAUUAUUCAAGAAGACUUUUUUAAAUGCCUUGUACUUUUGUAUAUGUCAAUUGGAUAUUGUAUUUAAGCAAUUUGUUUUGGAUAUUAUAAUAAUGAAUAUUUAAUUAAAAGUUUUUAUUUU